CGGGAGGUAGUUCAGCCCGGUAGAAUCCAUGGCUGGGGGUCAUGUGGUCGCAGGUUCGAAUCCUGUCCUCCCGA
rnacentral:tRNA from 1 species